CCAGAGUCCUACGGGAGGCAGCAGUGGGGAAUCUUCCGCAAUGGACGAAAGUCUGACGGAGCAACGCCGCGUGAGUGAUGACGGCCUUCGGGUUGUAAAGCUCUGUUAAUCGGGACGAAAGGCCUUCUUGCGAAUAGUGAGAAGGAUUGACGGUACCGGAAUAGAAAGCCACGGCUAACUACGUGCCAGCAGCCGCGGUAAUACGUAGGUGGCAAGCGUUGUCCGGAAUUAUUGGGCGUAAAGCGCGCGCAGGCGGCUUCCCAAGUCCCUCUUAAAAGUGCGGGGCUUAACCCCGUGAUGGGAAGGAAACUGGGAAGCUGGAGUAUCGGAGAGGAAAGUGGAAUUCCUAGUGUAGCGGUGAAAUGCGUAGAUAUUAGGAAGAACACCAGUGGCGAAGGCGACUUUCUGGACGAAAACUGACGCUGAGGCGCGAAAGCCAGGGGAGCGAACGGGAUUAGAUACCCCGGUAGUCCUGGCCGUAAACGAUGGGUACUAGGUGUAGGAGGUAUCGACCCCUUCUGUGCCGGAGUUAACGCAAUAAGUACCCCGCCUGGGGAGUACGACCGCAAGGUUGAAACUCAAAGGAAUUGACGGGGGCCCGCACAAG
rnacentral:rRNA from 1 species